rfam:Myceliophthora thermophila ATCC 42464 chromosome 1, complete sequence.
AGCGAUGUGGCGCAGAGGAAGCGCGCCGGGCUCAUAACCCGGAGGUCACUCGAUCGAAACGAGUCAUCGCUA